AUUGAACGCUGGCGGCAUGCCUUACACAUGCAAGUCGAACGGUAACAGGCCGCAAGGUGCUGACGAGUGGCGAACGGGUGAGUAAUACAUCGGAACGUGCCCGAGAGUGGGGGAUAACGGAGCGAAAGCUUUGCUAAUACCGCAUACGAUCUACGGAUGAAAGCAGGGGACCGCAAGGCCUUGCGCUCAUGGAGCGGCCGAUGGCAGAUUAGGUAGUUGGUGGGAUAAAAGCUUACCAAGCCGACGAUCUGUAGCUGGUCUGAGAGGACGACCAGCCACACUGGGACUGAGACACGGCCCAGACUCCUACGGGAGGCAGCAGUGGGGAAUUUUGGACAAUGGGCGCAAGCCUGAUCCAGCCAUGCCGCGUGCAGGAUGACGGUCCUAUGGAUUGUAAACUGCUUUUGUACAGGAAGAAACACCUCUACGUGUAGAGACUUGACGGUACUGUAAGAAUAAGGAUCGGCUAACUCCGUG
rnacentral:rRNA from 1 species